rnacentral:rRNA from 1 species
ACCAUGCAGUCGACGAUGAAGCCCAGCUUGCUGGGUGGAUUAGUGGCGAACGGGUGAGUAACACGUGAGUAACCUGCCCUCGACUCCAGGAUAAGCCCGGGAAACUGGGUCUAAUACUGGAUAUUCAAUUUCCAUCGCAUGGUGGUUUUUGGAAAGGAUUCUGGUCGAGGAGGGACUCGCGGCCUAUCAGCUUGUUGGUGAGGUAAUGGCUCACCAAGGCGACGACGGGUAGCCGGCCUGAGAGGGUGACCGGCCACACUGGGACUGAGACACGGCCCAGACUCCUACGGGAGGCAGCAGUGGGGAAUAUUGCACAAUGGGCGAAAGCCUGAUGCAGCGACGCCGCGUGAGGGAUGACGGCCUUCGGGUUGUAAACCUCUUUCAGUAGGGAAGAAGCGAAAGUGACGGUACCUGCAGAAGAAGCGCCGGCUAACUACGUGCCAGCAGCCGCGGUAAUACGUAGGGCGCAAGCGUUAUCCGGAAUUAUUGGGCGUAAAGAGCUCGUAGGCGGUUUGUCGCGUCUGCCGUGAAAGUCCGGGGCUUAACUCCGGAUCUGCGGUGGGUACGGGCAGACUAGAGUGCUGUAGGGGAGACUGGAAUUCCUGGUGUAGCGGUGAAAUGCGCAGAUAUCAGGAGGAACACCGAUGGCGAAGGCAGGUCUCUGGGCAGUAACUGACGCUGAGGAGCGAAAGCAUGGGGAGCGAACAGGAUUAGAUACCCUGGUAGUCCAUGCCGUAAACGUUGGGCACUAGAUGU